rnacentral:lncRNA from 1 species
AUUCAUAAUCGUUUUAAUUUAUAAAUUCAAUCACGCAUUUUGAAUUUUAGAAAUAAAUUAAAAUUUAAAAUUAAUUAUAAGUUUAAAUUUGAAUCAAAUCAAAAGUUAGUUUUAUAUUUGAAUUGUCUUCUCAAUUUUAUAUUUUAAUCUUUUAAAAAAAUUACAUUUAAAAUUUUUGCUUAUUAUUUCCACAUUUUAAUGUAAAUUUAUAAUAUAUAUCUUUUCGUUUGAAUUUAAAUUAUAAAUUCAAUUUUAUGUUUUAAGGUGCAAGCUCAAUUUCAAAUUAUUUUUAUUUUGUAUUUGAAUUUGAAUUUUAUUUUAAUUAUUGAAUGAGAGAAUGAAAAAGAGUUAGAGUGAGAUAUAGAGAGAGAGUUUGAGAUAGAACAUAGAGGGCGGGGGAGAACGUACCAUUGUAUGGAGUAGGGCUAGAAUACUUUUACAAGUAUCACCCAAGUGAUACUUGUGUAUUUUUAGCCCUUGGAUGGAGAGAUGUGAGGUUGAGAUGAUGGGGGUAGAUAGUGGUAGGUGGAAUAGUAUUUGAUCCAAGGGCUAUUUGUAAUCAAAAAGUAGAUCCAAUGGCUAAAAACGUGAUAGCAACAUGGGGAUGAUACUUGUAAAAGUAUCCUAGAUCAACUC